AGCGUGAGUCAGUGCCCUGAGGGAAUAAUGAGGAAUUCAUUGCUGUUGCUACAAAGAAUGAAGUAGGAGAAACAAUGCACAUUUUCUCCUCAGAAUGAGAGGAACAAAUAGACAAGAAGAGUACCAGACUUGAGGAUCAUGGAAUUGCAGUGGUAGCUAAUUUGUAGUAGCUAAUUUGAAAAUGAGAUCAGGGACUGCCUUCUGACUAGCGUGGAGUGGACCAGAAUGAGAUACCCACAUAAAGAAUGGAGUGAUCUUCCAUUUUACCUGAAAGUCAGAAAAUUCAACUUCUCCAAAUGUCCAAUUUCUCCAGGUGUAUACGCCCUAUCAUGCAGCUGAUCCACAGGUAAUGGAGACAAUUUACAAUAC